rnacentral:rRNA from 1 species
UACGGGGGGGAGCAAGCGUUGUUCGGAUUUACUGGGCGUAAAGGGCGCGUAGGCGGCCCGUGUGUGUCAGGUGUGAAAAGCCCGGGGCUUAACCCCCGGAAUUGCGCCUGAAACUACAUGGCUAGAGCAUUGGAGAGGGUAGCGGAAUUCACGGUGUAGCAGUGAAAUGCGCAGAUAUCAGGAAGAACACCCGUGGCGAAGGCGGCUCUCUGGGACGGUACUGACGCUGAGACGCGAAAGCGUGGGAGCGAACAGG